rnacentral:rRNA from 1 species
GACGAACGCUGGCGGCGUGCUUAACACAUGCAAGUCGAGCGGGUAAGGCCCCUUUCGGGGGUACACGAGCGGCGAACGGGUGAGUAACACGUGGGUGACCUGCCCUCAGCUCUGGGGAUAAGCCUGGGAAACCGGGUCUAAUACCGGAUAUGACUCCAUGACGCAUGUUGUGGGGUGGAAAGCCUUGUGCGGCUGAGGAUGGGCCCGCGGCCUAUCAGCUUGUUGGUGGGGUGAGUGGCCUACCAAGGCGACGACGGGUAGCCGGCCUGAGAGGGCG